rnacentral:rRNA from 1 species
CCAAGGCGCCUUCCGAUUGCGACCCCAGGUCAGGCGGGACUACCCG